rnacentral:rRNA from 1 species
AACGAACGCUGGCGGCAGGCGUAACACAUGCAAGUCGAACGCCCCGCAAGGGGAGUGGCAGACGGGUGAGUAACGCGUGGGAAUCUACCGUGCCCUGCGGAAUAGCUCCGGGAAACUGGAAUUAAUACCGCAUACGCCCUACGGGGGAAAGAUUUAUCGGGGUAUGAUGAGCCCGCGUUGGAUUAGCUAGUGGGUGGGGUAAAGGCGUACCAAGGCGACGAUCCAUAGCUGGUCUGAGAGGAUGAUCAGCCACAUUGGGACUGAGACACGGCCCAAACUCCUACGGGAGGCAGCAGUGGGGAAUAUUGGACAAUGGGCGAAAGCCUGAUCCAGCCAUGCCGCGUGAGUGAUGAAGGCCUUAGGGUUGUAAAGCUCUUUCACCGAUGAAGAUAAUGACGGUAGUCGGAGAAGAAGCCCCGGCUAACUUCGUGCCAGCCGCCGCAGUAA